CGAGUUUUAAACGUCAAUGAAUUUUAGCGCGGAAACAGAAGAGAGCACGGCUUCUUUAAGAAAAAGCACGUGACGUUUUGCACCUUUUAAGCAGAGCAAGAUGGCUCUCUUCGAUUCAGGGAAGGUGGAGGAAUGCGCCGUGGCUUUGCUCCCCCGGACUUUCAAGCGAAGGCUAGCUUUGCAUCAGAUCCUACAAGGUAGUCUGAAAAGGGGCUGGAAGGAAAAUGAGCUGGGUGCAAUGGAGACAUCGCUCAGCCUCUAACUGCUUCUAAAUUGAGAUAUGAAAAGAGAAAGCAACUUGCAAGGCCGCCGUAUCAUGAACCCGGACCGAGCUGAGACUGCCAACUGGAGGACGAGGAUGCAGAACAAUGAUAAUCGGUGAAUCCGAAAAGCAAGAUUCUGCAACCACUUAGCAGUGAUCACCGGCGCGCACUUUGCAGCGCAAACAAGCAAACGCAUUUCUUUACUCCGAAGUUGACUGAGAAGCUGUGAAAGUUGGAUCCAGAGCUUUGACACACUAGAAAUACCACGUUUUCAUGCAAAGCAAAAUGUGGACACCCCCCCUCCAAUUUAUUAAAAACAGGCAUGUUCAACAAGUAGAUCAUGACCUACAGGUAGAUCAUUGGACGUCUGUGGUAGAUCACUGGUAGCUCAGUGGCUCCCCCCAAAGAAGCUCAACAAGUUUGAACCCCAAAGAAAUGGGCUUUCCUCAUCCCUCACAAAAGCUCAACAACUUUGACCUGAACCACCCAAAAGAGGGUAGAUCACCGCCAGUCUUUAACUCUUGUGAGUAGAUCACGGUCUCUUGGGAGUUGGUCACCCCUGAUUUAAAAUAUAGAUGCUCUGCCAAUGGAACUAUGUGCAAAACUUUGAGGGUGAAACUACAAUAAGCAGACCAUGUGAAUCCACUUGUGUUUCCCAUAAAUGCUUUUAAGCAGCACGACUACUUAGAAAUAAUUUUAUUCUGCCUUUUUUUUUUUUAGCUACUUGGAUAUGUGAUAAUGGUGGGCUAGAAAAAUCGAAGAUUUGUAUUUUCAUUUUUGUUCUGCUCAUGCCUAUGGCAAUUACACAGGUGUACAUGUUACCUUGUUUUGAGAACCAUUCCCAAAUUUCACAAUGAAAGUUAGUCCAACACCCUCUUACUGAAAAGCUAUUAUAAUCUUAUCUACUUUAAGGUUGAGGAUUGUUGGGAAGUUUGGGUGCAAUUCAGCAGAAGAGGGGUCCUGCAUGGGUUAAGACAGUUAAGUACCUCCAGAUUUCCAGACUAUCCCUAUACCUUUAACCUGUAGCUCUUUUACUCUGUCAGGCAUCAUGAUAUUAGAAUGAUAUUGUGAGAUUACACUUCUCUCUGCCCUGAAGUUAAGAGGUCAUUCUGGAACUACCCUCCAAGAGAUCAAAGGAGCCAACAUGGCCUUGUUCUACUGUAGACUAAUUGGGUAGAAAUAUUCCUAGUUCUAGUCUAAGUAUGUAUUUCCUACAAUAAACUACUUGGUUACUUUUUUU